rnacentral:lncRNA from 1 species
GCGAUCGGCGGAGCUCCCACCUCCGCUUACAGCUCGCUGCCGCCGUCCUGCCCCGCGCCCCCAGGAGACCUGGACCAGACCACGAUGUGGAAACGCUGGCUCGCGCUCGCGCUCGCGCUGGUGGCGGUCGCCUGGGUCCGCGCCGAGGAAGAGAUUGAAGUACUCAUGGAGCAUCUCCUGUGCAGAGGCAGUAGGAUGGGAAGCCAGCAUAGGUUCUCCCUAAAGGUAGAGUGAGUGAAUGGAAAUAACUGGGAAGAAAACAGAAAGAAAAGGCAAAAAAAGAGUGAGUGGAAUAUAAACAGUACGGCAUGUGGCACCUGAACAGUCUUCAUGCCCAGGAAUCCCAAAUGCUGUUUACUCUACAGAAAGGAAUCACUUGAUUUUCCACUUCAGAAGCCAACCGCUCAACAACACUGGGGAAGAAAUGAAGAAUCCUGGGUCUCCUUGUAGUCGAUCAAGAAAUUUUGGGGGGAAAAAGGGAA